UAGGGAAUCUUCGGCAAUGGGGGGAACCCUGACCGAGCAACGCCGCGUGAGUGAAGAAGGUUUUCGGAUCGUAAAGCUCUGUUGUUAAGGAAGAACGAGUGUGAGAAUGGAAAGUUCAUGCUGUGACGGUACUUAACCAGAAAGGGACGGCUAACUACGUGCCAGCAGCCGCGGUAAUACGUAGGUCCCGAGCGUUGUCCGGAUUUAUUGGGCGUAAAGCGAGCGCAGGCGGUUAGAAAAGUCUGAAGUGAAAGGCAGUAGCUCAACCAUUGUAGGCUUUGGAAACUGUUUAACUUGAGUGCAGAAGGGGAGAGUGGAAUUCCAUGUGUAGCGGUGAAAUGCGUAGAUAUAUGGAGGAACACCGGUGGCGAAAGCGGCUCUCUGGUCUGUAACUGACGCUGAGGCUCGAAAGCGUGGGUAGCAAACAGG
rnacentral:rRNA from 1 species